GGGGUUUCACCAUGUUGAUCAGGCUGAUCUCAAACUCCUGACCUCGUGUUCCGCCUGCCUCGGCCUCCCAAAGUGCUGGGAUUACAGGCACGAGCCACCACACCCAGCCCCUUGUUUAACUCUUUAAAGGGAGGACAUGAACCCAGCAACUUAUUGUUUAUACAUUUUAUUUGUGCCCAUUAUCUCUUUCAUCCACCCCCCAAAACCUUGCACAACCUACGGUGGGCUCAAUGGUCCUGCAGGCUGGGUGGUCUCAGGCUUUCUUUGGAGCAUGGAGGGUGUUAAAUGAGAAACUCCAGGGUAGUGUGUGUGAGAGAGAGAAUUGGGAAGAGAGAAAAAAGGUAUGAGAAGUGUCAGGCCUCUGAGCCCAAGCCAUCGCAUCCCCUGUGACUUGCACGUAUACAUCCAGAUGGCCUGAAGUAACUGAAGAUCCACAAAAGAAGUAAAAACAGCCUUAACUGAUGACAUUCCACCAUUGUGAUUUGUUCCUGCCCCACCCUAACUGAUCAAUGUACUUUGUAAUCUCCCCCACCCUUAAGAAGGUACUUUGUAGUCUCCCCCACCCUUAAGAAGGUUCUUUGUAAUUCUCCCCACCCUUGAGAAAGUACUUUGUGAGAUCCACCCCUGCCCACCAGAGAACAACCCCCUUUGACUGUAAUUUUCCAUUACCUUCCCAAAUCCUAUAAAAUGGCCCCACCCCUAUCUCCCUUCGCUGACUCUCUUUUUGGACUCAGCCCGCCUGCACCCAGGUGAAAUAAACAGCCAUAUUGCUCACACAAAGCCUGUUUGGUGGUCUCUUCACACGGACGCGCGUGAAAAGAAGUUUUGCUAGGGGAGAGAACUGACUCUCCAUGCGUGGCUUUGAAAACCACAAGCUAGGAACAAUUUAUCAAGAAGACAUAGCAAUCAUAAAUAUAUGUACACC
rnacentral:lncRNA from 10 species